AUUGAACGCUGGCGGAAUGCUUUACACAUGCAAGUCGAGCGGCAGCGCGGCCUUCGGGCUGGCGGCGAGCUGCGAACGGGUGAGUAAUUCAUCGGUACAUGCCCAUUCGUUUUGUAUAACACUUCGAAAGAAGUGCUAAUACCGCAUUCGUCCUUAGGGGGUAAGCGUGGGAUCGCAAGACCUUGCGCCAUUGGACUUUCCGAUGUCAGAUUAGCUAGUUGGUGGGGUAAAGGCCUACCAAGGCGACGAUCUGUAGCUGGUCUGAGAGGAUGAUCAGCCACACUGGAACUGAGACACGGCCCAGACUCCUACGGGAGGCAGCAGUGGGGAAUUUUGGACAAUGGGGGCAACCCUGAUCCAGCCAUACCGCGUGAGUGAAGAAGGCCUUCGGGUUGUAAAGCUCUUUCGGCAGGAACGAAAAGGUGGGCUCUAACAUAGUCCGCUAAUGACGGUACCUGAAGAAGAAGCACCGGCUAACUACGUG
rnacentral:rRNA from 1 species